CCUACGGGGGGCUGCAGUGAGGAAUAUUGGUCAAUGGGCGGAAGCCUGAACCAGCCAUGCCGCGUGCAGGAAGACGGCCCUACGGGUUGUAAACUGCUUUUCCGGGGGAAGAAUAAGGGCGACGUGUCGCCCGAUGCCGGUACCCCGGGAAUAAGGAUCGGCUAACUCCGUGCCAGCAGCCGCGGUAAUACGGAGGAUCCGAGCGUUAUCCGGAUUUACUGGCGUUAACGGGUGCGUAGGCCGGCGCUGAAAGACGGGGGCUCAACCUUCGAACGGCCGUUGAUACGGGGCGACUUGGAUGCGGUCGAGGCGGGCGGAAUGCGACAUGUAGCGGUGAAAUGCUUAGAUAUGUCGCAGAACGCCGAUUGCGAAGGCAGCUCGCCAGGCCGACAUUGACGCUGAGGCACGAAAGCGUGGGGAUCGAACAGGAUUAGAUACCCCAGUAGUC
rnacentral:rRNA from 1 species